UACAGGGGGGGCAAGCGUUGUUCGGAAUUACUGGGCGUAAAGGGCUCGUAGGUGGCCAACUAAGUCAGACGUGAAAUCCCUCAGCUUAACUGGGGAACUGCGUCUGAUACUGGAUGGCUUGAGUUUGGGAGAGGGAUGCGGAAUUCCAGGUGUAGCGGUGAAAUGCGCAGAUAUCAGGAGGAAUACCAGCGGCGAAGGCGGCGCUCUGGGCCGGUACUGACGCUGAGGAGCGAAAGCGUGGGGAGCAAACAGG
rnacentral:rRNA from 1 species